GCCAGCAUGGCAUAGUGGUUUAAGUGCUGGACUAUGAUUCUGGAGACCAGGGUUCGAAUCCCCACCUAGAGA